rnacentral:tRNA from 1 species
GAGGAUGUAGCUCAAAUGGUAGAGCACUUGCCUAACAAGCACAAGACCCUGAGUUCAAACCCUAGUGUCCAUC